UAAAGCAAAUUGCACGGUUCAAUAGUUAAAUACUCUAAAUCCAAGUUUAUUGUUCGAAUAUUUAAAAUGUUUUCAAAAACCAUUAUACUGUUUUUUUGCGUGGCAUUGUAUUUUUCGAAAUGUCAAGGUUCUGGUCCUAGUCAAAAUCAACUUGAAACGAUUUUAAGAAUAGUUUAUCAACAUUUCCAGCCGAAUGAACUGAACUACGAAAAGUUAUCAAGUAUAUUUUACCAAGUAAAACAUGAAACGAACGCAAAUACUGGAGAUCUUCCCAGCCUUGAUGAUUUUUUAACGCUAGUAGAAAACAGUUUAUUUACGAGAGAUGAAGUUGAAACCGCCGCCCGA